AUGGUGCAUCAUGGUCUCGCCUCUUGCUGAGCCACUGCGGUGCACCAUAGGAGCUCCUGGCAAUGGUGCAUCAGGGCAAAUGUAGGCUAGCUGAGGAAACUUUUUAAUUUGGAGCUGAAAACAUUUUGGUGGGGGUUUUAUUGAAAUUUUUUAAUUUUCCGUGGAAAAUUUUUUCAUGAAAAAUUUCAUUUGUCAAAAACUCAAUUUUCUGGUGAAGAACAGUCUUGAUAGAAAACUUUCAAUCUGCCUUAGUUAUAAUGCUGUCUGAUAACUUCCUAAUACUUUCCUGGGGAUAUGGAAAAUGAGCAAAAGGAUUUCCUAGUGGUUACUGUUUCCCAUUGACUCAAAACCAAAGGACAAAGUGGACAUCUAACGAAUAGAUGCUGGCUGUGCUCUUCAUCCCCACCUGAAGAUACUUUGUCUCAAAGCUUGGCUUCUCGAUGAUUCGCGUGACUAGAAUCAACUUGCUCUAAGGAAGUGCAACAGCUAACAUCCUUCUUCUUGACAAAAGGUGGAGGAAACUGUCUUGUUCAAAUCCACUUAUUAUGGAAUUCACUAUUUAAUAUUUGUGUGCCUCACCACUUGCCUUUUCACCUGGCUCAUGAAUGGAGAACCUCAAUGUACUUACAAUUGGCCCUGUUUCAUAGCAGU